GGCCAAGUGGCGGAAUGGCAGACGCACUCGACUCAAAAUCGAGCGCCCAAAAGGCGUGUGGGUUCGACUCCCACCUUGGCCA
rnacentral:tRNA from 1 species